GCGAUUGUGACGGAAUAGGCAUACGUACUUGCCUUAGAAGCAAGGUUCUGUGGGUUCGACUCCCACCUAUCGCACCA
rnacentral:tRNA from 1 species